UAGGAGGUCCCGCCUGCCCUGUGACUUAAGGUUUAACGGCCGCGGUAUUUUGACCGUGCAAAGGUAGCGCAAUCACUUGUCUUUUAAAUGAAGACCUGUAUGAAUGGCACGACGAGGGCUUAACUGUCUCCUCCCCCCGGUCAAUGAAAUUGAUCUCUCCGUGCAGAAGCGGAGAUAACAUCAUAAGACGAGAAGACCCUGUGGAGCUUUAGACGACAGGCAAGACCAUGUCAAGAACCCCAAGUUAAUGGGUUGAACUAAUUGGAUGCUUGCCAAUUGUCUUUGGUUGGGGCGACCGCGGGGAACUAAAAAACCCCCACGUGGAACGAGAGCAUCUCUGCUCCCAGAACCAAGAGCCACAGCUCUAAGUAACAGAAAUUCUGACCAACUAGAUCCGGCAGAGCCGAUCAACGGACCGAGUUACCCCAGGGAUAACAGCGCAAUCCCCUUCUAGAGCCCAUAUCGACAAGGGGGUUUACGACCUCGAUGUUGGAUCAGGACAUCCUAAUGGUGCAGCCGCUAUUAAGGGUUCGUUUGUUCAACGAUUAA
rnacentral:rRNA from 1 species